GUAAUAUGAUGACAUCAUGCGUGUCAUUUGAUUUCCAAAUAGUAUUUCUUCUUGAAGCUGGAUUUGGUGUUUUUCCACAUUCAGUGAAUGGGAACUACAUUUUGGAAAAUAUGAUUCUGUUUUGUUCUGAUUAC